GCCAUACACAGAGGAUGUUUUUGUUAGCCAGUGGGAGAGCAGCAGACAUCUCGGACAGAUACAACCUUCACUUGAACACUGUAUGAGCGACCCAUUUUCGUGUCGUCUGGAGAUUGGACGGUGACCAGUGACUGCGCAUCUUUCGAUUCUUUACAAGGCCACCUGCUUUUGCGUGAGCUCAUAAGGGCAAAUCUGUUGGAUGGCAAUGACACUCGUCUGCACUAGUAUAGUGGCCGUGGGAUGCAAAGGACGACCGUUUCAUCCGGUGUAAAGAUGGUGCGGACAUAAUCAAAAGUUUACAAACGUGGAACUUUGCCACAGAUCUACCUUUCUUGCAGUGGCUGUCUAGCCCGCGGGGAAAUCACAACAGUAUUCUUGCACUGCUGGCAAUGAGGAAGGGGUGCAGCCAUCAGAUAGCCGG